GGCAAGAUGGCCGAGCGGUUAAGGCGUGUGACUCAAGCUUAGCUUGCCCACAAAUUGUGGGUUCAUUUCUCAUCACGGAAUCGUGGCGUGGGUUCAAGUCCCACUCUUGUCA